ACAGGUGUGGCGAAAUUGGUAUACGCGCUAGAUUUAGGAUCUAGUAAUUUUAAUUAUGAGAGUUCAAAUCUCUCCUCCUGUA
rnacentral:tRNA from 2 species